AGAGUUUGAUCAUGGCUCAGAUUGAACGCUGGCGGCAGGCCUAACACAUGCAAGUCGAACGGUAACAGGAAGAAGCUUGCUUCUUUGCUGACGAGUGGCGGACGGGUGAGUAAUGUCUGGGAAACUGCCUGAUGGAGGGGGAUAACUACUGGAAACGGUAGCUAAUACCGCAUAACGUCGCAAGACCAAAGAGGGGGACCUUCGGGCCUCUUGCCAUCGGAUGUGCCCAGAUGGGAUUAGCUUGUUGGUGGGGUAACGGCUCACCAAGGCGACGAUCCCUAGCUGGUCUGAGAGGAUGACCAGCCACACUGGAACUGAGACACGGUCCAGACUCCUACGGGAGGCAGCAGUGGGGAAUAUUGCACAAUGGGCGCAAGCCUGAUGCAGCGACGCCGCGUGAGGGAUGGAGGCCUUCGGGUUGUAAACCUCUUUUAUCGGGGAGCAAGCGAGAGUGAGUUUACCCGUUGAAUAAGCACCGGCUAACUACGUGCCAGCAGCCGCGGUAAUACGUAGGGUGCAAGCGUUAUCCGGAAUUAUUGGGCGUAAAGGGCUCGUAGGCGGUUCGUCGCGUCCGGUGUGAAAGUCCAUCGCUUAACGGUGGAUCCGCGCCGGGUACGGGCGGGCUUGAGUGCGGUAGGGGAGACUGGAAUUCCCGGUGUAACGGUGGAAUGUGUAGAUAUCGGGAAGAACACCAAUGGCGAAGGCAGGUCUCUGGGCCGUUACUGACGCUGAGGAGCGAAAGCGUGGGGAGCGAACAGGAUUAGAUACCCUGGUAGUCCACGCCGUAAACGGUGGAUGCUGGAUGUGGGGACCAUUCCACGGUCUCCGUGUCGGAGCCAACGCGUUAAGCAUCCCGCCUGGGGAGUACGGCCGCAAGGCUAAAACUCAAAGAAAUUGACGGGGGCCCGCACAAGCGGCGGAGCAUGCGGAUUAAUUCGAUGCAACGCGAAGAACCUUACCUGGGCUUGACAUGUUCCCGACAGCCCCAGAGAUGGGGCCUCCCUUCGGGGCGGGUUCACAGGUGGUGCAUGGUCGUCGUCAGCUCGUGUCGUGAGAUGUUGGGUUAAGUCCCGCAACGAGCGCAACCCUCGCCCCGUGUUGCCAGCGGAUUAUGCCGGGAACUCACGGGGGACCGCCGGGGUUAACUCGGAGGAAGGUGGGGAUGACGUCAGAUCAUCAUGCCCCUUACGUCCAGGGCUUCACGCAUGCUACAAUGGCCGGUACAACGGGAUGCGACCUCGUGAGGGGGAGCGGAUCCCUUAAAACCGGUCUCAGUUCGGAUUGGAGUCUGCAACCCGACUCCAUGAAGGCGGAGUCGCUAGUAAUCGCGGAUCAGCAACGCCGCGGUGAAUGCGUUCCCGGGCCUUGUACACACCGCCCGUCAAGUCAUGAAAGUGGGCAGCACCCGAAGCCGGUGGCCUAACCCCUUGUGGGAUGGAGCCGUCUAAGGUGAGGCUCGUGAUUGGGACUAAGUCGUAACAAGGUAGCCGUACCGGAAGGUGCGGCUG
rnacentral:rRNA from 1 species